rnacentral:rRNA from 1 species
GACGAACGCUGGCGGCGUGCUUAACACAUGCAAGUCGAGCGGUAAGGCCCUUUCGGGGGUACACGAGCGGCGAACGGGUGAGUAACACGUGGGUGACCUGCCCUCAGCUCUGGGAUAAGCCUGGGAAACCGGGUCUAAUACCGGAUAUGACUCCAUGACGCAUGUUGUGGGGUGGAAAGCCUUGUGCGGCUGAGGAUGGGCCCGCGGCCUAUCAGCUUGUUGGUGGGGUGAUGGCCUACCAAGGCGACGACGGGUAGCCGGCCUGAGAGGGCGACCGGCCACACUGGGACUGAGACACGGCCCAGACUCCUACGGGAGGCAGCAGUGGGGAAUCUUGCGCAAUGGGCGAAAGCCUGACGCAGCGACGCCGCGUGAGGGAUGACG